CAGUAGCCGCGGUAAUACGAGGGGGGCAAGCGUUGUUCGGAAUUAUUGGGCAUAAAGGGUGCGUAGGCGGUUUGGCAAGUUUGGUGUGAAAUCUUCGGGCUCAACUCGAAGUCUGCAUCGAAAACUGCCGGGCUUGAGUAUGGGAGAGGUGAGUGGAAUUUCCGGUGUAGCGGUGAAAUGCGUAGAUAUCGGAAGGAACACCUGUGGCGAAAGCGGCUCACUGGACCAUAACUGACGCUGAGGCACGAAAGCUAGGGGAGCAAACAGGAUUAGAUACCCGAGUAGUCCCUGUCUCUUAUAC
rnacentral:rRNA from 1 species